AAAAGUUGAAGUUCUUCGGCUAACUGUGAUAACUCUGUAAGUAUUACUUCGAACAAACGAAAUUACUGAAUCCAAAUGAAAGCCCUUCUACGAGUUCUAAGCCUGGUCGUCAUUCGCGUCGUCGUGAUUAUUAUCACGCCGUGCGGGGCUACGCUCGGAGGAAGAAAGGCUUAAAAAUCAAGCCUGAUUUCGAAAAAACCCCCGCACCGAAAGGUCCGGGGGUUUUUUUUCGGUAAUGUGUUAAUGGCAGAGGAACAAAAUAUGACUGGUAAAAUAAAAUGCUGUAUUUCCCAGAUCAA
rfam:Erwinia tracheiphila strain BuffGH Etrach_2, whole genome shotgun sequence.